rnacentral:rRNA from 1 species
UACGUAGGUGACCAGCGUUGUCCGGAUUUACUGGGCGUAAAGAGCGCGCAGGCGGUCGUUCAAGUCGAGUGUGAAAGCCCCCGGCUCAACUGGGGAGGGUCACUCGAUACUGAUCGACUUGAAGGCAGGAGAGGGAAGCGGAAUUCCCGGUGUAGUGGUGAAAUGCGUAGAUAUCGGGAGGAACACCAGUGGCGAAGGCGACUACCUGGCCUGUUCUUGACGCUGAGGCGCGAAAGCUAGGGGAGCAAACAGG